GGAAGGAUCAUUGACAAAAUCUCUUAUUGUAGACAAAGAACACGUGUACUCUCGAGUACCAUUGUGGUGUGAUCCUUCAUUGGUCUAUCCACGCUUGCACGCUCUUCGCCCCUUAACUGGAGUGUUUGGUGUGCCUAACAACCCCUCGGCGCGGACUGUGCCAAGGUAAUUCAUGGAAGUUGCGGUGGUGGUACCAUGUGUGCUCCACUCCGACUCUUGUAUUUUUGAAUCCCUUGUGGAUCUCGGAUGACUCUCGGCAACGGAUAUCUUGGUCCUCGCAUCGAUGAAGAACGUAGCGAAAUGCGAUACUUGGUGUGAAUUGCAGAAUCCCGUGAACCAUCGAGUUUUUGAACGCAAGUUGCGCCCUAAGCUUCCGGGCCGAGGGCAAGCCUGCGUGGGCGUCAUGUUACGUUGCUCAAUCACCCUUCUAAGGUCAUUUCUCUUUUGGCCUAGGAAUGUGGUGUUUGACGUGGAGAUUGGCCUUCCAUUCUUCUAUAGAAUGGUGGGUUGAAGUUCUAUUGCCGCCGGUAAUCGUGCAAGGGCAUGACGGUUGAAGUCUUGUAGGUUCGGACAUUUUUGUCCUCUACGACUUACUUGUCGUUCUCGUCGAUUCGGUGGCUUUCUCUCUGGCCAUUGUACGUUGUUGUUCCUACGCAUUGCGUAGCCACCAUGUCAAGGCCAGCAUCGCGACCCCACGUCAGGCUAGAUCACCCGCUGAGUUUAA
rnacentral:rRNA from 1 species